GGGAACAACAUUCUCCUAAUCCCUAGCCAGGCCAUGUGGGAACAACAUUCUCCUAAUCCCUAGCCAGGCGUGUGGGAACAACAUUCUCCUAAUCCCUAGCCAGGCGUGUGGGAACAACAUUCUCCUAAUCCCUAGCCAGCCGUGUGGGAACAACAUUCUCCUAAUCCCUAGCCAGCCAGCCGUGUGGGAACAACAUUCUCCUAAUCCCUAGCCAGCCAGCCGUGUGGGAACAACAUUCCACAGUCGUCCUGGAGCAGAGCAGAGCGGGAACAAGCAUUAUCCUAAUCCCUAGCCAGGCCAGCCGUGUGGGAACAACAUUCUCCUAAUCCCUAGCCAGGC
ensembl:lncRNA